GUGAGGUCGGAAGUUCAAGUCUUCCCAGGCCCACCACUUUCAUCGAGUGAGCAUUCGUCUUCUGGUUACGGGGCCAUAGCUCAGCUGGGAGAGCGCGUGCUUUGCAAGCAUGAGGUCGUCGGUUCGAUCCCGUCUGGCUCCACCAGAUGGUUUGAUCACCGAGAUCUUGACCGUCGUCCGCGAAACAUCACUUCGCAUCCUGCUAGUCUGGAUAGACAGCAGUUUGCGUGUUUUCUGACAUCGUAAAGAGGAGAUCGAUCCGAGUUGGGUCGUGCAGCAUAUCGUUGCGCGAGCCUUCAUUAUCUCCGGAUCAUUUCGGCGCUCGCUUCCAGCCGUGAGGUUGGAUGCGGGUUGUAAAUGAUCCUUUUAGCGAAGCUUGACCGCCUCGCUAUCGGAACGAUCUUACGAAGCAAGCUGGUCUUUCUAGUCAAUGUCCGGCUGCGGAUAGCGUUCAUCGAGGGCGCGUGCCGCAAGGCAAUUCUGCAGACAACAUUCUGCCGAGUGUGUGGACAUUGAUAAUGAGAGCAAUCAAGUGCCUUAAGGGUGUUCGGUGGAUGCCUUGGCGCUGAGAGGCGAUGAAGGACGUGCUACGCUGCGAUAAGCCGUGGGGA
rnacentral:rRNA from 1 species